AGCAGCCGCGGUAAUUCCAGCUCCAAUAGCGUAUAUUAAAGUUGUUGCAGUUAAAAAGCUCGUAGUUGAAUUUCGGGAUCAAUAUGUUGGUCGUGCCUCGGUACGUACUAGCAUAUUGGUUUCUCCUUUCUGAAGAACCAUGAUGUCAUUUAUUUGGUGUCGUGGGGAAUCAGGACUGUUACUUUGAAAAAUUAGAGUGUUUAAAGCAGGCUCACGCUUGAAUACAUUAGCAUGGAAUAAUGAAAUAGGACGUUUGAUUCUAUUUUGUUGGUUUCUAGGAUCGACGUAAUGAUUAAUAGGGAUAGUUGGGGGCAUUAGUAUUCAAUUGUCAGAGUGAAAUUCUUGGAUUUAUUGAAGACUAACUACUGCGAAAGCAUUUGCCAAGGAUGUUUUCAUUAAUCAAGAACGAAAGUUAGGGGAUCGAAGACGAUCAGAUACCGUCGUAGUCUU
rnacentral:rRNA from 1 species